UACUCCUACGGGAGGCAGCAGUGGGGAAUUUUGGACAAUGGACGCAAGUCUGAUCCAGCAAUGCCGCGUGCAGGACGAAGGCCUUCGGGUUGUAAACUGCUUUUGUACAGAACGAAAGGGCUCUGGUUAAUACCUGGGGCAGAUGACGGUACUGUAAGAAUAAGCACCGGCUAACUACGUGCCAGCAGCCGCGGUAAUA
rnacentral:rRNA from 1 species